rnacentral:rRNA from 1 species
AUGCCCUAAAUCUGAACCUCCAGAAAUCAUGUUAGUUAGUAAGUAGCCUUUAUACACUAAGUCUGUUGCAACAGGAUACCGUAUCCAUGCUUGGGAAUUAGGCAUCUCCCAAGGUAUAGACUUUAACCUUGUUCUAAGGCCGUACUUUUCUUUUGCAUUUUUAAGAAUUUGUAACGUCUCAUCUUUUGAAGGAGAAUCUACGAUAACUUUUUGGAAACGUCUUUCUAAUGCACCGUCCUUUUCAAAGUUCUUCCUAUAUUCAUCUAAUGUUGUCGCUCCGACACAUUGUAUUUCACCUCUCGCUAACGCUGGUUUGAAUAUAUUUGACGCAUCCAUUGUUCCUGAAGAAUUUCCGGCACCUACUAUUGUAUGGAUUUCAUCAAUAAAAACAAUAAUGUUUGGAUUGUUUUGCAAUUCUUCGAUGAUCACCUUCAUUCGUUCUUCAAAUUGACCACGGUAUUUGGUUCCGUGGUCAAUGUGAAUAACGGAGUGAAAUAGAUCCUGAAACCAUACGCUUACAAGCGGUCGGAGCCCUUUCGUGGGGUGACGGCGUGCCUUUUGCAUAAUGAGCCUACGAGUUACCGUUGCUGGCAAGGAUAAGUACUUAUGGUAUGGAUCCGUAGCGAAAGCGAGUCUGAAUAGGGCGCUAUAGUCAGUAAUGGUAGACGCGAAACCGUGUGAUCUACCCAUGGGCAGGAUGAAGCUGUGGUAACACAUAGUGGAGGUCCGAACCGGUUGACGUUGAAAAGUCUUCGGAUGACCUGUGGGUAGGGGUGAAAGGCCAAUCAAACUCGGAAAUAGCUCGUACUCCCCGAAAUGCAUUUAGGUGCAGCGCUGGGUAUAAGUUAUAUAGAGGUAGAGCUACUGAUUGGAUGCGGGGGCUUCACCGCCUACCAAUUCCUGACAAACUCCGAAUGCUAUAUAAUGUUUACCAGCAGUGAGGGCAUGGGUGCUAAGGUCCAUGUCCGAGAGGGAAAGAACCCAGACCAUCAGCUAAGGUCCCCAAAUGUAUGCUAAGUUGAAAAAACGAGGUUUGUCUGCCCAGACAGCUAGGAUGUUGGCUUGGAAGCAGCCAUUCAUUUAAAGAGUGCGUAACAGCUCACUAGUCGAGCGGACGAGCAUGGAUAAUAAUCGGGCAUAAGCAUACUACCGAAGCUAUGGAUUUGUAGUAAUACAAGUGGUAGGGGAGCAUUCUAAACUGGGUCGAAGGUGUGAUGUGAGUCAUGCUGGACUGUUUAGAAAAGAAAAUGUAGGCAUAAGUAACGAUAAUGCGGGCGAGAAACCCGCACACCGAAAAACUAAGGUUUCCGCAGCUAUGCUAAUCAGCUGCGGGUUAGUCGGGUCCUAAGGCGAACCCGAAAGGGACAGUCGAUGGCCAACGGGUUAAUAUUCCCGUACUACUUAUAAUUGUGAUGGAGAGACGCAGUGGUGAAAGUACCGCGAACUGACGGAAUAGUUCGUUAAAGCACUUAGCUAUAGGCCCGGUAGGCAAAUCCGCUGGGACUGGUGAAAUGCGAUAGUACUCAGAGUCUUCGGACAACGAGAUAGUGUACCUAAAGGCUGCCAAGAAAAUCUUCUAAACUUAGAUUAUAAGUACCCGUACCGUAAACCGACACAGGUAGUUGAGGAGAGAAUCCUAAGGUGCUCGAGAGAUUCAUGGCUAAGGAAUUAGGCAAAAUAGACCUGUAACUUCGGGAGAAAGGUCGCCAGCAGCAAUGCUGGCCGCAGUGAAGAGGUCCAGGCGACUGUUUAUCAAAAACACAGGGCUCUGCAAAAUCGUAAGAUGAAGUAUAGGGCCUGACACCUGCCCGGUGCUUGAAGGUUAAGUGGAGAUGUUAUCUUCGGAGAAGCAUUGAAAUGAAGCCCAAGUAAACGGCGGCCGUAACUAUAACGGUCCUAAGGUAGCGAAAUUCCUUGUCGGGUAAGUUCCGACCUGCACGAAUGGUGUAACGAUCUGGACACUGUCUCAGCCAUGAGCUCGGUGAAAUUGUAGUAUCGGUGAAGAUGCCGAUUACCCGCAGUGGGACGAAAAGACCCUGUGCACCUUUACUAUAGCUUAGUAUUGACCUUGGACACGUGAUGUGUAGGAUAGGUGGGAGACUGUGAAGUGGCGUCGCUAGGCGUUGUGGAGUCAUUGUUGAAAUACCACCCUUUGCUUGUCUGAGGCCUAACCCCGAAUCGGGGGACAUUGCUUGGUGGGUAGUUUGACUGGGGUGGUCGCCUCCAAAAGAGUAACGGAGGCUCCUAAAGGUACCCUCAGCACGCUUGGUAACCGUGCGUAGAGUGCAAUGGCAUAAGGGAGCUUGACUGAGAGACA